CGCGGUGUAGCUCAGCUGGCUAGAGCGUUCGGUUCAUACCCGAAAGGUCGAGGGUUCGACUCCCCCCGCCGCGA
rnacentral:tRNA from 1 species